GAAUAUUGGUCAAUGGGCGAAAGCCUGAACCAGCGACGCCGCGUGGAGGAUGAAGGUUUUCGGAUCGUAAACUCCUGUCAGAAGGGAAGAACCACCGCAGUUCAAAUAGGGCUGCGGUCUGACGGUACCUUCAAAGGAAGCACCGGCUAACUCCGUGCCAGCAGCCGCGGUAAUACGGAGGGUGCAAACGUUGCUCGGAAUCACUGGGCGUAAAGGGUGCGUAGGCGGCCCAAUAAGUCAGAUGUGAAAGCCCUCGGCUCAACCGAGGAACUGCAUUUGAUACUGUUGGGCUUGAGUUCGGUAGAGGGAAGCGGAAUUCCUGGUGUAGCGGUGAAAUGCGUUGAUAUCAGGAGGAACACCGGUGGCGAAGGCGGCUUCCUGGGCCGAAACUGACGCUGAGGCACGAAAGCGUUGGGUAGCAAACGGG
rnacentral:rRNA from 1 species